rnacentral:rRNA from 1 species
UACCUUACAUUGGGGGAUAGCCUUUCGAAAGGGAGAUUAAUACCGCAUAAGACAGUAGCUGGGCAUCCAGCAGCUGUUAAAGAUUUAUCGAUGUAAGCUGGGCAUGCGUCCAAUUAGCUAGUUGGUGAGGUAACGGCUCACCAAGGCUAUGAUUGGUAGGGGAACUGAGAGGUCAAUCCCCCACACUGGCACUGAGAUACGGGCCAGACUCCUACGGGAGGCAGCAGUAGGGAAUAUUGGGCAAUGGACGCAAGUCUGACCCAGCCAUGCCGCGUGCAGGAUGAAGGCGUUAUGCGUUGUAAACUGCUUUUAUACAGGAAGAAACGACUCUUGCGAGAGGCAUUGACGGUACUGUAUGAAUAAGCACCGGCUAACUCCGUGCCAGCAGCCGCGGUAUACGGAGGGUGCAAGCGUUGUCCGGAUUUAUUGGGUUUAAAGGGUGCGCAGGUGGUUUAUUAAGUCAGUGGUGAAAGACGGUCGCUCAACGAUUGCAGUGCCAUUGAAACUGGUAGACUUGAGUAAAGUAGAGGUGGGCGGAAUUGAUAGUGUAGCGGUGAAAUGCAUAGAUAUUAUCAAGAACUCCAAUUGCGUAGGCAGCUCACUUGGCUUUUACUGACACUCAUGCACGAAAGUGUGGGUAUCAAACAGGAUUAGAUACCCUGGUAGUCCACACUGUAAACGAUGAUAACUAGGUGUCGGCCGAAUCUGGUCGGUGCCAC